rnacentral:tRNA from 1 species
UUUUCUCUAGCUAAAAUCUGUUAUAGUGUUAGUCUGAAGAGCUAAAGUUACACGAGAUGUGGGAAAAG